rnacentral:rRNA from 1 species
CUAGUUGGUAGGGUAAUGGCCUACCAAGGCAAAGACGGGUAGGGGGCGUGAGAGCGUGACCCCCCACACUGGCACUGGGACACGGGCCAGACUCCUACGGGAGGCAGCAGUGAGGAAUAUUGCGCAAUGAGCGAAAGCUAGACGCAGCAACGCCGCGUGGGUGAUGAAGGCCUUCGGGUCGUAAAACCCUUUUCUGGGGGAAGAGUAAGGACGGUACCCCAGGAAUAAGCCUCGGCUAACUAUGUGCCAGCAGCCGCGGUAAUACAUAGGAGGCAAGCGUUAUCCGGAUUUACUGGGCGUAAAGAGCGUUGAGGCGGCUUCGUAAGUUGGACGUGAAAGCUCCCGGCUUAACUGGGAGAGGCCGUUCAAUACUGCGGGGCUUGAGGACAGCAGAGGGGGGUGGAAUUUCCGGUGUAGUGGUGAAAUGCGUAGAUAUCGGAAGGAACACCAGUGGCGAAGGCGGCCCCCUGGGCUGCUCCUGACGCUGAAGGCGAAAGCUAGGGUAGCGAACGGGAUUAGAAACCCCGGUAGUCCUAGCCGUAAACGAUGGAUACUAGGUGUAGGAGGUUAAAAUUCCUUCUGUGCCGGAGCUAACGCGUUAAGUAUCCCGCCUGGGGAGUACGGUCGCAAGGCUAAAACUCAAAGGAAUUGACGGGGGCCCGCACAAGCAGCGGAGCGUGUGGUUUAAUUCGAUGCAACGCGAAGAACCUUACCAGGGCUUGACAUGUAGGUAGUAGUGAAGCGAAAGCGGAACGAUCCUUCGGGAAGCCUACACAGGUGCUGCAUGGCUGUCGUCAGCUCGUGCCGUGAGGUGUUAGGUUAAGUCCUGUAACGAGCGCAACCCCUGCCGUUAGUUACAAGUGUCUAACGGGACUGCCCGGCAAAACUGGGACGGAAGGUGGGGAUGACGUCAAGUCAGCAUGGCCUUUAUGUCCUGGGCUACACACACGCUACAAUGGCCGGUACAAUGGGUUGCCAAGCCGCGAGGCGGAGCCAAUCCU